CAGCUCGUGUCGUGAGAUGUUGGGUUAAGUCCCGCAACGAGCGCAACCCUUAAGCUUAGUUGCCAUCAUUAAGUUGGGCACUCUAAGUUGACUGCCGGUGACAAACCGGAGGAAGGUGGGGAUGACGUCAAAUCAUCAUGCCCCUUAUGAUUUGGGCUACACACGUGCUACAAUGGACAAUACAAAGGGCAGCGAAACCGCGAGGUCAAGCAAAUCCCAUAAAGUUGUUCUCAGUUCGGAUUGUAGUCUGCAACUCGACUACAUGAAGCUGGAAUCGCUAGUAAUCGUAGAUCAGCAUGCUACGGUGAAUACGUUCCCGGGUCUUGUACACACCGCCCGUCACACCACGAGAGUUUGUAACACCCGAAGCCGGUGGAGUAACCUUUUAGGAGCUAGCCGUCGAAGGUGGGACAAAUGAUUGGGGUGAAGUCGUAACAAGGUAGCCGUAUCGGAAGGUGCGGCUGGAUCACCUCCUUUCUA
rnacentral:rRNA from 1 species